UCCGUAGCUCAAUGGAUAGAGCAACUGCCUUCUAAGCAGUAGGUUGUUGGUUCGAUCCCAACCGG
rnacentral:tRNA from 1 species